AGACGAUAAAAGCGUGCGUGGGGCUGGAAGCUGACCCCCGUUUGUAAGCGGGGCCUUGCGGAGCCCGCCCCGUUCGCCGCUGCAGGGGAAGAGCGGCCGCUCCCGCCGCCGCUCCCGGCGGAUGUCCGGCCGCGGCCAUGGCGCUGGCGGAGGCGGGAGCCCGCGGGCGGCUCCUGCGCUGGCCUCGCCUGCUGCUCUUCGGAGACUCCAUCACUGAGUACUCCUUCCAGGAAAACGGCUGGGGGGCAUACCUUGCUGAGAGACUGGUCAGAAAAUGUGAUGUUUUGAACCGUGGGAUUUCGGGGUACAACACCAGAUGGGCUAAAUUGAUUCUUCCAAGACUGAUCCCUGAAAAUACUAAUGCUGACAGUAUUGUUGCAGUUACCAUUUUCUUUGGAGCUAAUGAUAGUGCUUUGAAAGAGCUGAACCCCAAACAACACGUUCCUUUGGAGGAGUACACUGCCAACCUGAAGAGCAUGGUGCAGUACCUGAAGUCAGUGGACAUUACUGCAGACAGGAUUAUUUUGAUAACACCACCACCUCUUCAGGAAUCAGCUUGGGAAAAGGCAUGUCUUGCCAAAGGUGAGAAGCUGAACCGCUGCAAUGGCACCACCGGGCAGUACGCCCAGGCCUGCGUGCAGGUCGCCAGGGAAUGCAGCACGGAUGUGCUUGACCUCUGGACACUGAUGCAGAAGGAUCAGGAUUUCUCUUCCUAUUUGUCUGAUGGCCUGCAUUUAUCAGCAAAAGGCAACAGCUUUCUAGCAGCUCAGCUUUGGUCACGCCUGGAGAACAAACUGUCUGCUCUUCCUUCACUGCUUCCUUAUUGGCGUGAUGUGGACCACACGAACCCUGAGGCCAGUCUGCUGUGACAUCCCUGCAGGUGGAGCUGGGGCAGCCACACCAGACAGAGCCAGCCCGUUAUCCAGAACGUGCUGCAAACUGUGUGGGAGUCCCCAGCAAUGCUCUUCUCUGUCCCCUUCUCUUGGUCUGUGGGGGAAUAAAGGAAAGACACCUACAGUUGUGGCCCAACAGGGAUGGAUUUCCAUCAUUUAUGCAAGACACGCUCGUGCCUGUGCCUGUGCCGAGGAUCCCAAACCGGCUCUGCUCGCUGCACACCUCCCACGGCGCCUUCCCCAGCAGAUGGUGUCAACCUCACAAGGUGACAACCACAAAUUAACUCACACAGAAAUAAAGAUAAGCACAAGGAGACCGAGCAGUUCUGGAGAGGAACUGUGGCUGCAGCUGCUGUGUGGGCAUGGGAAGGACCAAAUGCUGCCCUGAGCUGCCCUGGUCCAUCUCUAAGCAUGGCUAAUGUGGGAGCCAGAGACGGGAGAGCUGCCCAGGCAUCCCUCCUGUGCUUCACUGGGCCUCAUUUGGAGAAGAGUCUUAAGAAGGUUGUUUUGGUUUUGUUUUUUUUCUUUUAACCAAAGUAGACACCAUGCAGCACUUUCCCUGUGAAACCAAUGUGAACCAUCAUCCCAAGCCUUAAGUUUGCCACUGGGAAGACAGAAAACUCAACCUCCUUUGUAAUACAAGGCAGAACUCCAGUCUGGAGAUUGAACAAAUGCAAAUAGCAUGGCAACAGCUAUUGCUAGAGCUCUCUGUCAACAUCCCUCUAACACAAAGCUUCAGUGUCUUUUUUUCCCCAUCUUCUUGACAGUUUCUGUGCCAAGUUUUAGCCCACACAUCAAUUAUAAAUUCCUAUUAUAAUCACACUACAGAAAAGCACAGCAAAGAAGCUGGCAGAAGUCAGCAAAACCGAAAUAUGCCCAUCUUGAAAGAUUUAAUAGAGGCAGACACAGGCACUGCUCUGGUGUCUUUACAAGUGAGACAAAGCACAUAUUUAGGCCUUUGUGCAUUUACUAUUUCAUAAAGUAUGGAAAAAAAUCCAGGAAGCAUCAACUUACAUUAAGCUUAGUAUUAGCACUAAUAAGCCCUGUCUACUAUACUGUUCUCUGCUCUAGUUACUCAGGAUACACAAAAAUCAGGUGGAGGAAUUUCAUUAAAAGGCUCAAACUAAACCUCCUACUUUGCCUGCUUGUUCUGUUGGAGGGUUUGUUUCGUUAGAGUUUUGUUUUUUGUUUGGGGAUUUUUUGUUAAAACAAAACAAAAUAUAUUUAAGUUCAUCUUUAGAGAUCGAAAGUCUGUUCAUAUCUAGGAAACUAUAGCUCCUAUGAGACAAUAGCUGUUUCUGUUCCUGUUCCACAGUGAAUUCAAUUUUCGGUUCCAUUCAGUCCUGACUCCCCUUCUCAGCUACAACAAAAAAGAUGAUUUUUGUUUUAUCAUCUAUAUCCUUGUCUGCAGAAAUUUCACUUAAAUGGAAAGCCAGCAGCUCUUUCCUGAGAGAGCACAGAAGCUUGUCACAAUCCCAUGGCACACAUCACCAGCACACAUGUAUGAGGAUACUCUUCUACCUUUGUUAGGAUGGUCUUCCCAUAGUUCUUGGUGCUGGUCAAGCCACUGUUCAGAUAGAUAUCCUUCUUUGCAAUUUGACUGUAAUAAGCUGAAAGAGUAAGAAAUAAACAAAUUAAAAUUGAGGAACAUUUUUCUUGUGUUUCAGGGUACUUAUGGGAAGAGAGGGAUAUUUGUCUGGGGAAAUGAACAGCUUUACAGCUUUACUGUUCUCACAGGCUCACUAGCCUCUUGCCAGUUUUUGGAGCUGGGAAUCUUUCAAGCACAGCUCCAACAGCCCAUGUAUUGCAGUAAAGGCAAAACCAGCAGAAAUUUCCAAGACAACAGCAUCUGCCUUUCCAGAACCGCUGCAGGAUGCAUCCACACAAAGCAGCCCUUAGAAAGGGUUUUUCUAUACAGCCUGCUCACACCAGAUAGCUUAGUGACUUUGUUUAAUGACUUUUAUCCUCUGUUUUUUCCAGCUCCAGCC